GCCAAAAAUCUAGCUCGUCAUAAAUCCUAUGCACUUUUACCCCUAAUCACUCUAACUAAAACAUUCUUACAUUAUAGUAAAGGAGAUUGAAAAAAUUUACUGAAGCAAUAAACCUAGUACCGCAAGGGAAAGAUGAAAUAUUAGUGAAAAUACUUAAGCAAAAAAAAGUAGAGCCCAACUCUCGUACCUUUUGCAUCAUGGUUCAACUAGUCUAAUCAAGCAAAAAGCAUUACAGUUUGACCCCCCGAAACUAAGCGAGCUACUUCAGGGCAGCUUAAUGAGCCAACCCGUCUCUGUUGCAAAAGAGUGGGAAGACCCCUAAGUAGAGGUGAUAUAUCUAACGAGCUUGGUGAUAGCUGGUUACUCGGGAAAAGGAUCUUAGUCCAACCUAAAGUCUCACUAUUACCCCAAAAACACCUCUUGACUUUAGAGCAAUUCAAAUAAGGUACAGCUUAUUUGAAACAGGAUACAACCUAAUCUGACGGGUAAAAUUUUAUAUUGGGCCCCCAGUAGGCCUAAGAGCAGCCAUCUUUUUAAAAGCGUCACAGCUUAGCCCCCUCACCCCAUCCCAAUUCCCUAUAUUAACUUAAACCCUCUAACAAUACUGAGUAAUCCUAUACCUUUAUAGAAAAUUUUAUGUUGAAACUAGUAACAAGAACAUUAACCUUCUCUUAAAUGCAAACAUAAAUCAGAAAGGAUAAACCACUGAUAAUUAACGCCCCUGAGUACAUAUUAGCAACCCCACAAGAGAACCCUAAUAUACUUCACGUUAACCUGACACAAGAGCAUUUCAAGAAAGAUUAAAAGAAAGAGAAGGAACUCGGCAAAUAUUAACCCCGCCUGUUUACCAAAAACAUCGCCUCUUGACUAAAAAUAAGAGGUCCAGCCUGCCCAGUGACGAUUGUUCAACGGCCGCGGUAUCCUAACCGUGCGAAGGUAGCGUAAUCACUUGUUCUUUAAAUGGGGACUAGUAUGAAUGGCACCACGAGGGUUAUACUGUCUCCUCUUUCCAAUCAGUGAAACUAAUCUCCCCGUGAAGAAGCGGGGAUAAAAUUAUAAGACGAGAAGACCCUAUGGAGCUUUAAACUUCUUUUCAAACGCCAGACUACUCCUACAGGUCACCGACCUCCUAAUAUCUACCUGCGGCGUUAUGAAAAUGACUUUUAGGUUGGGGUGACCGCGGAGUACAGAAAAUCCUCCACGCUGAACUAGGCCUCCAAACCUUGAGCGCAGGGCUACAACCCAAACCACUAAAAAACUAACACCCAUUGACCCAAUUCUACUUGAUCAACGAACCAAGUUACCCUAGGGAUAACAGCGCAAUCCACUUCAAGAGUCCCUAUCGACAAGUGGGUUUACGACCUCGAUGUUGGAUCAGGGUAUCCCAGUGGUGCAGCCGCUACUAAUGGUUCGUUUGUUCAACGAUUAAAACCCU
rnacentral:rRNA from 1 species